GGAUCGCUGCGGGUUGUUGGUCGUUCCAUUACAUGAAACGCAUUUUGGAAACGUUAUUUGUACAUAGAUUUUCUAAAGGAACUAUGCCUAUUAGAAAUCUGUUUAAGGUAAGCAGACGCUUUUUAAAUAUCUUAUAUAAAUAGCAUUCUCGUCGAACCCUGUGAAGUGGGAACAUCCUUGAUGAAUCCUUUAAAAGAUGUCCAGAUAGCGCCAUUUAAUGAUGGAAUGAUGAUAUAAUUUUCUUAAAGAAUCAUUAGUUGGCAGCAGGGAUGUGUGCCCACUAAAAAUAAUUUUAAAAAGUCUUUUUAAGAAGAGAUCCGUUUAAGAUGGUAUCUGGUAAUAGGGAUUCGGCCAUAUCAGUUAAUUGCAAUUAUUUUUCUUUUCUAUUGCUUCUUUGAUUGUUAUCAUGUCUCUUGGAUUAUAAAGAACUGCAGCUAUUACUGGUAAGAUUUCUCUGAAUAUGUAUGGCAUAAUGUUAGAGCAAUUAAAUUUGCAGUAAUUGAUGUGAUUGUCAGAUUGAAACACGGUGGUGGUUAAUUUCGUGAACGAAAUGCUCACAGCUAUAGUUGCAUGUGGUUGAAAGGUGCACGCAUUUCUCCGUGUAUAUUGUAUGUUGAUCUGUGGGCUGUUGUUCAAAAGCGGUCUAGCGUAUAAUUCUGGGUGAACGUAAAAUUCAAAGCAAACUUCGCAGCUACUUGUAAACAGAGAUAAACAGACGUCCAGAAAUAAUGUGCACAAACCUAAACAAUGGGUUAAAUUUUAACCCAGGAUUAGGCCGAUUAGCAUUAAUCGUGCUUUGAAAAACCUGGUUUGAAUCUUCACAAAGGCUAAUCAUAUUACCAAAACAAAAAUCGCCUGUAAUUUCUUCCUUCACAAUUUGAAAUUAUCCAUGAAGUCACGAGGAAUAAAAAGAGAAUAUGUGCGUAGUUUCACAAAGUCGGACUAUACAACAUACUGUACGGUUGUCAAGUUAAAGCCUGGUUCGCACUACUAGUUGUCGGCGAGUCUCUCUUCCUAACGGACGCAAGUGAGAAACUCGCACACAAAACUAUUGAAUCUCUAUAUGCGGAAGCAAACAGUUCCGAAGUCUUUUGCCUGCCUGCCUGCCACUAUUGAGGUUUAGAUUUGAGUACCACUACCUAAUAUUAAAGGAUCAUUAACCAAUCAGAUACGUUUAAUCUACCUGAUUAGCCAAUCACAUGCGUACUUAGUCAGUAAAAGGCAGUGAGCUCCGCAUAUACUGGAGCCAAGAUAGCGGGAAUUGGAGAGGUAUUGGACGACGUCAGUUCUAGUCCCUUUCUAUUGUUUUUGUCUGCGCGGUUAACACGAAGCUGGCAAGGAGUGUGCGAAAUUUCGUAUUUUGACAUUGAUUAACACUAUAUAUGGUUUUAAGAAUAACUUGUUCAGCAUUACGCUCCGUUAGAAAAAAAAAUUAGCUGGGAAAAAUGGUAUUUAAACUGUUUACGACCUGCAUAGCUAUACUGGACGUCAAUUUCCGCCAUCUUGACUUUACUUUUCUCAUAGGUCGAAUGACUGAAGUUCUUGCUCCAGAUAUAUAUAGAGCUCACUGCUAAAAGGUAGUGGAAGUCAAAUCUGAACCUCACUAUACUCGUCAUCUGCCAGGAGGAGAAAAUACGCCGACAGAGUUUCUUGUGUGAACAAGGCUUGUAAUACAGUAGUUCACUGCAUUGUACUGACCUUGUGUUCGCAAAUAGAUGGAAUGAAAACAUUUAGCGUCAUUGGCUUAGCCUGACAAUUUCGUGAAGUGAUUUGAAAUUGACUAUACCAUGUGGAGACAAAACAAUGAUUGGUUAAUGACAUUGUGAUCUGUUUAUAGUGACAGAAGAGGGUAGAUAGUGGUAUUUUAAGCAUGGACAUUGGUGACAAUGUAUUGAAGAUGUUAAAUUAUAUUUUUACAGGGGAUUUGCAGCCUUUGUCAGUUACUUUGUAAAUCACCCACUCUAUACUCCACCAGGUAUAGUACUGUGUAUUAUUCUAUUUUGUGUUCAAAGGUUAUCCUAAAAUAUGUCUACGUAAUUUUAGUGGCUCUUAUCAUUCACUUGUUCAUAUUCUUUAUAAAGCAUUUGGAGACCUUCAGAUGUAUAUUGGUUUGGCUGGUUUCCUGGU